GCAGCUAUUCUAUCCUAUUCUAUUCUAUAUUUUAUUUUUAAACUUUUUGUACGAAUGCCGUAUAAAUCUCUCCAUUUUAUCUGAUUUUUUUAUAAAUCUCUCGUUUUAAUUGCUUCUACUGUUUCUAUAUUAUAGCAGUCGGGUUUAAUCAACAGUCCCGUGUAUCCCGUGUAUCCGUAUACUGUUUCUAUAAGCGCAGGGAGGCGAAAGAGGAUGGAUAAUUGGAUCGGAUAGCCGUCCCCUGGGUUCUGUCUGGGGAGCAGGAGCAGCAGUCGCCGAGAGCAACCCAAAGCAAGCUGCAGUUCGUAAGAGGAUCAGGGGCCGGCGCCGGAGGAGAUCCCCCGCGCUAUUUGGAGCUCCCCAAGAAAUGCCGUGUGCACUAGAAGUGAUUGAUGCAAGGUUACAGAGCACAUCACAUAUUCAGUGCAGCAGAUCAUUUGACCAAAACAUUGGAAGACGCUUUUCAAAGGGCCAUCUGAUACAAAAACCUGUUGCCAUUUGUCCUGAGAACAGUGACACCUCAUCAACAAUACUUCUGUUUCGGCACGAUCCAGACUGGAAACAAGCACCAUUCUUGUCUGACACUCAAGAGGUCAACAAGGUAAUCUCUUUGUCAUCAGGAGCUCUUGAUACAGAUUGCCUUGAGCUAUUAUCUGAACAGCCAAGAAUACUGUUUUGCUUAGAUCAGCCAAAUGAAAAGAACAUGCAUGAUCAGGUUGAUUCUUCUAAACCAGUUUCCAAUGGAAACACACAUGGGGGAAGCACCUUUAGACAAUCUCAGCAAAGGGAAAACGUUUGUAAUUCAUUGAUGGCAGUUCCUCCCUGCCAUGUAGUUGCAAAGAAGUACUCCAGGUCUGUUGCUACUGCUCUGAGUCUGGGAUCUGAUUCUGAUAUUUUGCACAACGGUGACAAGCUUCCAAAAAGGAAUUCUAGAAAGAGAGGAAAACAGUGCAAGCGAACAAUCCGCAAAAGGCUGAAUUUGGCAUCAGAAACCAUUUUUGAAGAGAGUACUUAUGGUGCUUCUCCUGCGGAGGUAGUUCCGACCAAUUUACUGGUUGAUAAGUUGUCAGAGACCACAUCCUCUGCUAGCUCAUUGGUUAAAACUGAUGGUCGGUACAAGGAGGACCAUGUGGAAUGUGGUAUUAUGUUGAAUUUAGCUACAUUGGGAACUGAUGAGAUGGAUGGUUCUGGAUGUGCUGGUUCAUCUUAUAAUGAUGCAGGAGGGAGAUUAAGCUCCAGUUGUGUUUCUUACUUGAAUGACAAAUCCAAUACGACAGAUUCUUCAGAAUUUGACGGAUCCACCUUCACUGAACAUGGCUUGGGAGAAGAAAGCAAUAGCUACCAGAAGUUAACAUGCCCCUAUGUUUAUAAUCCCAGUUAUGCAACCAUGGAUUCCAUCUUUAGUAGGUGGAACAGCGACAACAGUGGGAACUACAGUGUCGAUGUUGAGGCUAGGUUAACCGUCAAAGACGAAAAUAGACAUGAUCAUUCGAAACUGGGGGCUUCCACAGGGCGGAGUAAUGUGAGGAUGGAAUGCCAGUUGAUAGGGUCAUGUUUUAGUGCUACUCAUGCUGAAGACACAAACGAUCCUCUAGGGAUCAGAUCAUACUCCUCUAAGGAUGUUACUGAUAGUUGUAGCCAUACUGAAAUGGUUCAGUGCAGCAGCAAGUCCUUUCAUUUUAAAUCAGGGAGGAGGAACAUAAAAUCAAGUAAAACACCAAGCUAUGUUGAUUUGACUGCGUCUAACAGAGUGAGAGGUUCUAAUAGGCACAAGAACAAUGGAAAAGAUAGUUCAGCAGUGUGGCAGAAAGUAGAAAGGAAUGACAAGAUGGUAUCUAAAGCAGGCCAUCCGAGCGAUACACCUGUUCAUGAUAAGGGUGCAAAUGAAGUUGGUAAGAAGGGUGUACAGGAAGAUCCAACAAGAAUUCGGGCAAAACAUAAUCCGAAUAAGAAAGUGUGCAAACAGAAGCCUUCAAAUGGAGCAGUUGAAUUGGAGCCUGCCAAAGGAGAAGAUGCAUUGAACUCAUGCCAUACAUUUUCUGGACCUUUCUACACGAAGCAAGCACCCUUUCUACGCCAGCAAAGAAACUCUUUUUCGAAACAAGGUUCUCAGUCAUUGAAAAACUACUGUGCUCCUAGGAAUGGUAUCCCCAAGGUGGCAAAGGAUUACUUGCAGCAAGAAGAAUUACCUAUGUUGGUGCUAGUUCAUGCCAAGAACACCAGUGAUAAAUCAAGCUCAUAUUCAAGUUCAGCUGAUGAAGUUGGUCUAACUGGAGUCAGCAACAACUAUCCAACUGAGGGAAAUGAGAGUUCACAACCUGAUAUUGAGGUAGCAGCGUCAGUAUCUUGCAACUUGGUUCCAGAUUUGGCUCCACAAGCUGCUUCUGAUGAUUUCCACAUAUCAGAUCCUCACUCUUUACGUCCUGAAAACAAGGGUGCAUCCAACAGUCGGAGCUCCAAUAACUUGUGCACAGAUCCUUUUGCUGCAGAAGCAAAGGAAGCUCGAUGUGUGAAGCUACUAACAGAGAAUAAUUCCCAAGAACCCUGUAAGUGGUAUUCUGCUGCUGGACACUUGUCACAGAAGUGGGUUCCUGUUGGAAAGAAAGAGACUUGCAAUGGGAUCUGUUUAGAUGUCUCAGCUAAUGGUGAUGACAGCAACUUGCCUAGUGAAAGGACUUAUAAACUGAACUUAUCUGAACAUGCUGCAGCAGAUAAUGCAGCUGAGACCGAUUACAGCAAGAUGAAAGAAGUCAUCAGCUAUGUUUACACAGCACAGCAGCGAGUGGAAGACAUCCAACUUUGCAUUGGUAGGCCUAUUGCUGAUUUUGAAAAUUUUGUUUACUCUGCUUCUCCAGUUGUGCACUGCAGCUCGUGCUCUGUUGGCUGUAAAUCUUGCCUGCAAGAAUGUGUGAAGGAUGGCUUAUGUUUGCAUCAGACUCCAGAUAUCACUCUAAGAACUGUCUGGCAGUGGUACGAAGAGCCUAGUUGCUAUGGUUUGGAUGUAAAGGCACAAGAUCUCUGGAGGUCAAAAGCCUUGUGGAAUAGUCAUUGUCAGUUUACAACAUAUUUUGUACCAUAUCUAUCUGCUGUUCAACUCUUCAGUCAACCUAAAAGAACCAGUGGUGGAAGCAUUGAUAAGGAAUCAAUCCAUAGGGAUGUGACAUGUGAAACAUCUCCACAGCUGAACCUGCCCCCAAUAUUUGCAAAGCUUUUUCCAAAACAAUCUGUUCCAGUAAAUAAACCAUCUACUCUGCGUACUGAAGAUGAUCAACAGUCAGCAGAUGGGGAGCUGGUAUUUGAAUUUUUUGAAUAUGAACAGCCAUACUCACGGCGACAAUUAUUUGACAAGGUAAAUGAGCUGAUUGCCGGUGCGAAACCGUCAAAUUGCCAAAUAUCUGGGGACCCAAAGAAUCUGGAGGCCAGCCUGCAUGAUCUCCAUCCAGCGUCUUGGUAUGCUCUCUUUUCAUGGAACGUGCACUUGUAUCUGGUAUUGUGUUGCAUGGUAUCCCAUAUACCGGAUACCUGAUGGAAAAUUCCAGGCUACAUUCUUGACAUAUCACUCUCUUGGCCACUGGAUUCGUCGGAGCAGCUCAGCAGGUGGGGCCGCUGUUUUGCCAGUCAUGGGCCUGCAGUCUUACAAUGCCAAGGCAGAGUGGUGGUUUGAGAUGAGCAAGUCCGAAUCUGAAGGCGGGCAGUCGCAGGCCAGUGAAGCAUCCGAGAUUCUGAAGGAGAGAUCGCGCACGCUGAGUGAGGCUGCGGCCGUGUUGUCCAGGGCCAGCGUGCUGAAGAAUGGGCAGAUGAGUAGAAACAGACAUCCAGACUACGAGUUCUUCCUCUCCCGGAGCUGAUUUGGAAGUGCCUCUUCGUACUCGGAUUUAGUUAGGUUUCAGUGUAUGUAUGUGUUGUUGACACUAAAGCUUAUUCUGCAACCGAUGACUGGAAGCUGUUUGCUUAGCUUAGCUUAGCAAUAUAAUAAUAAUGCUAGUCAGUUCUCAUCCAA